UUUUUUAUUUCUAUUAAUUAUUUCUUUUAUAAAACGCUGCGUCGUUGGGAAGGGCAUUUCACGGUAAAGUCUGCACCAGUUGUAUUCGGAGGAUGUGACAAAUAACAUUAGAUUUAAUCUUAACCCUCCUUCCCUGUCUUGACUCAUACUGUAUCUUCAGGCUCCUAGAUCCUCAUACUGUAUCUUCAGGCAGAGUAAAUCCUCAUAUUGUAUCUUCAGGCUCCUAGAUCCUCAUACUGUAUCUUCAGGUAGAGUAGAUCCUCAUACUGUAUCUUCAGGCAGAGUAGAUCCUCAUACUGUAUCUUCAGGCUCCUAGAUCCUCAUACUGUAUCUUCAGGUAGAGUAGAUCCUCAUACUGUAUCUUCAGGCAGAGUAGAUCCUCAUACUGUAUCUUCAGGCUCCUAGAUCCUCAUACUGUAUCUUCAGGUAGAGUAGAUCCUCAUACUGUAUCUUCAGGCAGAGUAGAUCCUCAUACUGUAUCUUCAGGCU